GGGGGCUGCUUUAAUUUUAACAUUUAAACCCUUUUUAACAUUAAAUAUUCAUUCGUUUCUUAUUUUUUAAUCAUAAAACCAAAAUAUUAGCAAACAAAAAUAUCCCCCGAAAUACGAAAAAUCUAAUAUUCACCAUAGGUUUGUACAGUGUAGGCCAAAAAAUAGGUGCUCUACAAAAGUUCUUUAAAAAAACAUUUUUACAUUGAAGCCACAGAAUAUACCAUACUCAAAUUGAUCUUUGAUAAUCCAGGCCUACUUUCCUGCAAUUGGUUUUUUAUUAAUUGUUAUGCUUUUUCCUUAAAAAGUGAUACAAAAAUUAAUUUUUCCCAUCAAUUCCCGCCAUUGGUACUUUUCUCACGUAGAGGGAGCUUCACACAAUAACAAACGAAUCAAAGUAACAGUAGAAACUAAACAAACAAAAGUAGAUUCAUUCCAGCGGGCAGUCAGCUCUUAUUAUUCAUUUAAAUGAAAAUUCAUGCAAAGGACCUGGAAAAUCUGCAGAAAUAAACCCUAGGACUACUCUGACCAACGGAGGUUGGUGGUUUGGCAGUUGAAGGCUUAAGAAACUUGCUGACCAUCCUGGGUACAACCCCAACAGUCAAUGCCUCUAGCUACGACAGGCACAUAGCCACUUUUAAAUCGAUAUCUCAAGAGACCAGCGAGGAACACAUGAAGAGGGCGGCGGUAUGCCUACAACAAAGGGCAAUGGACAAGGACCCGACCAUCAGG